rnacentral:tRNA from 1 species
GGGGUUGUAGCUCAGUGGUAGAGCACUUGCCUAGUAUAUAUGAUGAACUGGGUUCAAUUCUCAGCACCA